AGCGCAGGCGGUCUUUUAAGUCUAAUGUGAAAGCCUUCGGCUCAACCGAAGAAGUGCAUUGGAAACUGGGAGACUUGAGUGCAGAAGAGGACAGUGGAACUCCAUGUGUAGCGGUGAAAUGCGUAGAUAUAUGGAAGAACACCAGUGGCGAAGGCGGCUGUCUGGUCUGCAACUGACGCUGAGGCUCGAAAGCGUGGGGAGUAAACA
rnacentral:rRNA from 1 species